GGGUCCCGCGCAGCGAGGUGGGACAGCCGUGCGCGCUGGAAUGUGCCGGCGCGGUCCCCAGGGCACGCCUCGCGGGAGUCCGGCGCUCUCGGUUCCAGAUGCUGCCACCAUUCUCGGGGAAGUCGGGAGCAGGGCCCUCUCUGGGAUGGUGUAAACUUACUCAGCUUCAAAUGCAGCCCAGUAUCCUGCCCUAUGUUCCAGAGGACCAUUUUCCACAUGAAAAGUCUUAUGGAUACACAAACUUCACUCAAAUCAAUGUCAAGUUUUCAUUGCAAGAAAGUAGCAGUCGUGUUUAAGGGCUUGUUUCUGGCUAUUUAAAGGACCAUCCUCUGAGGAAAGCAGAGGAGAGAAACUACAUUAUCCUUACAGUGAAACGCAAAACAACCGCAGAAAAACUCCACUGAGUUCGCUCCAAAUGCUCAUCUUCUUCUUCGGCCCUGGAUGUCAGACAAACAGGACAAACAGGAAACAAAAUUAUUUUUCUACGUGGAGGCAGAGCAGCACUCCUCCGUCACCCAGUAUUUGGAUCCCCAGCGGGAAUGGGGAGCACCAGGCCAGCAGGAGGCUGUCCCGGCCCUCCUGCGACCUCUGGAUUGAACUUUCCCCACACUUCUCGGCCCCUCGGCAGGUGGCCCAGCCUCGACCCGACCCCACUGCCCACUCACUGCUUCUCCUGUGCGUCCAGGUCCCUGACGAGCGCAUCGCGCUUGUUCACCAGGGCCACCAAUUCAUCUAGCAGAAGCUGCUCGCGUCGCUUCUGUGCCUCGGUCUUCUGCCAGUCUGCAGAAGAUGGGAGGCUAGUUACCCACCGGCAGGGCCUCCCAACACCCGGCCCCCUGCCCUCCCCUUCCCGCCUUUUCCAGUUUCCUUAUAUUUCUCGGCAAACCACAUUAUAGAGCCACUAGCUAGUGUUUUCUGGGAGUUUGGCUGUCGUGGUGAAGGUUUCCUCGCUAAAACUCUACUUUCUAAAUAUUUCAUGCUAAUGGAGACGACUGUGGCAGGGUUGGAACCUGCUCAGAACCAGGUGUGAGCCGGUGGCUAGCCUGAGGUGCGCACCUGAAUCUAGCCAAAGUGGGGGAGGGGGGCUAGAGGCCCAGAAGAGGUUGGCCCAGGGGUUGAUAGUGGGGGAAGUGGGUAAAUGAGGAGGCGGGAAACAGUGCUGGGCGAUAAAAUCAUUCUGAAAAGGCUAGAGAAUCUGCCUGAGAACCUAUCCUCCUCCCCCACCCCCACUCUCACCCCAAACAGCCCAUUCUUCGCUAAUUUCCUCUUCGCUCUAUUUUAGCAGUUGGAUGUAUCUCACACUGGGCGCCAUAUGCUUCACAAUAACUUUAAAAGUAGUGAAUCGGCUAAUUAGCAUUUUUCUUUGAAGUAAAAAAUAAAUUUGCUCUGCAAUAUUA